UACGAAGGGGGCUAGCGUUGUUCGGAAUUACUGGGCGUAAAGCGCACGUAGGCGGAUUUGCCAGUCAGGGGUGAAAUCCCGAGGCUCAACCUCGGAACUGCCUUUGAUACUGGGGAUCUCGAGUUCGGGAGAGGUGAGUGGAAUUGCGAGUGUAGAGGUGAAAUUCGUAGAUAUUCGCAAGAACACCAGUGGCGAAGGCGGCUCACUGGCCCGAUACUGACGCUGAGGUGCGAAAGCGUGGGGAGCAAGCAGG
rnacentral:rRNA from 1 species